rnacentral:ribozyme from 11 species
UAAAAGAAAGAAACAAAAAAGCAGAGGCCACUUUUCUUUUCUUCCUUGUUGGUAUUCCUUGUUGGUAUCUAUCUCCCUUUUUUCAUUUUCUGCUUUUCUUUUCU